UACAGAGGUCUCAAGCGUUGUUCGGAUUCAUUGGGCGUAAAGGGUGCGUAGGCGGGCUGCCAAGUCAGGGGUGAAAUCGUUCGGCCCAACCGGACAAGGGCCCCUGAUACUGGUGGCCUCGAGGGAGGUAGGGGUCGACGGAACUUCCGGUGGAGCGGUGAAAUGCGUAGAUAUCAGGAGGAAUACCGGUGGCGAAAGCGACUCUCUGGACGGCAACUGACGCUGAGGCACGAAAGCGUGGGGAGCAAACAGG
rnacentral:rRNA from 1 species